GUGUUGCUUGUGGGUGCGUGUGUGGUGUGUGCAUGUGUGUGCGCGCGCGUGUGUGCGGGGUGUGCCGUGAGCGUGUGCCCGCGGUUCGGGGGAUGAGUAGGGGCGCUGACUUUUAGGACCAGCCAUUUGAGUCAAGCUGGAGACGACGUCUUAGAACCUAGGAUGAGUCUCGUUUGGUUUUAGUCUGCAAAGCUCGUCUGCAUCAGACAGGAAUUUUCCCCAGACGCGGGUGCACGUGAAUUAAUUCAUCAGAAGGCGGUUCACGGCCUGAGUGAGGGGGACGAGGGCGGCGAAUUCCUCCGCCUCAUUCCUACCCUGACGAUUCGAGAGUGGCUGUACCAUUUUGCAUUCCCAGACCGAAGUGUGAAAGCUCCAGAUGCCCCACGCCCUCACCAGCCCACGGUGUUGUCAGCCUUAAUAGUGCUGACCAUUCUGCCUGUUAAUAUGAUGAAUUACACUGAUUCAGUUUCAAAUGUCCAACCAAGCUUGCACUCCAGAGAUGAAGCCCACUUGAUCACAUGGAUUAUUCUUUUAAUAUAUGAUGGAUACGACUUGGCUGUUCUUUUGUUGAGGAUUUUUGUGUUUAUGUUAAUGAGGAUAUUAUUUGUAGUUUUCUUUUCUUGUAAUGUUUUUGUCUUUGUUCAGUGUCAGAGUAAUGCCAACUUCAUAAAGUGAGCUGGGAAGUACUCCCUCAUUUUCUGUUUUCUGUGAAAGAAUUGUAUAGAAUUGAUGUUAUUUCUUCCUUAAGUGUUGAGUAGAAUUCACUUGCAAAGCCAUCUGAGGUUGACAUCUUCUUUGGGAAUGACUUUAGCUAUAAAUUCAAUUUAUUUAACAGAUAUAGGGCUAUUAAGGUUAUUUAAUUUUUUUCUUGAAUGAGCUUUAGUGUCCUGUGUUUUUCAAGGAAUUUUUCCAUUUUAUUUAAGUUUUUAGAUUUGUUGGCAUAAAGUUAUCCCAAUAUUUCCUUAGAAGUUGUGACUUUUACUGCAUAUAAAACAUACCUCAAUAAAGCUAAUACAUACAUAUAUAUAUAUGAAUCAUUUCUGGCCAGGUACAGUGGCUCAUGCCUGUAAUCCCAGCACUUUGGGAGGCAGAGGCAGGUGGAUCACCUGAGAUCAGGUGUUCCAGACCAGCCUGGCCAACAUGGGAAACCUGUCUCUACUAAAAAUACAAAAAUUAGCCAGGUGUGGUGGCAUGCCCCUGUAAUCCCAGCUACUUAGGAGGCUGAGACAGAAGAAUCGCUUGAAUCCGGGAGGUGGAGUUUGCAGUGAGCUGAGAUUGCACCACUGCACUCCAGCCUGGGCAACAGACUGAGACUCCAUCUCAAAAAAAAAAAAAAAAAUCCCUUUUUAUCUAAAGGAUCUGUAGUGAAGUCCCCUCUUUCAUUUCUGAUAUUGGUAAUUUGUGGGGUUUUUUUGUUUU
rnacentral:lncRNA from 1 species